UUUUUCCCGUCUCACAACAUGCAAAGUACUGUUCUCUCUCAUUCUGUACUCCAGAACUUCAGUCAUUGGAUAAGCAAGCAGAGCUUUGCACUGGUUUGAGGAGGAAGAAGAGGUACUGCUGUUCCUUUCCAAAUAGCCCUGCUCUCACAUGACCUGGAAUCCUGUGGGAACACUCCUCAACUGAUUCAGUAUUAGCUGAGCAGCAUUUUCUUAUAAAGUCCUGAUAUUCCAGAAAUCUUUACACUCAGCUUUUAUGUCACCAAAAUUUGCCAAAGAAAAAGUGGCUUCUUCUAUUAUUGCCUGAACUCAAGCCCCAGGGAAUUCAAUACCUGCACCUAUGUGAGCCAGUUCUCAUCUUGUGAUGGAAUAAUGUUUGUAUCUGGUACUGUUCAUUCACACCCAUUUUGAAUAAACAAUAAUUCCCA